rnacentral:rRNA from 1 species
AGAGUUUGAUCCUGGCUCAGGACGAACGCUGGCGGCGUGCUUAACACAUGCAAGUCGAACGGAAAGGCCCUUCGGGGUACUCGAGUGGCGAACGGGUGAGUAACACGUGGGUGAUCUGCCCUGCACUUUGGGAUAAGCCUGGGAAACUGGGUCUAAUACCGAAUAGGACCACGCGCUUCAUGGUGUGUGGUGGAAAGCUUUUGCGGUGUGGGAUGGGCCCGCGGCCUAUCAGCUUGUUGGUGGGGUAAUGGCCUACCAAGGCGACGACGGGUAGCCGGCCUGAGAGGGUGACCGGCCACACUGGGACUGAGAUACGGCCCAGACUCCUACGGGAGGCAGCAGUGGGGAAUAUUGCACAAUGGGCGCAAGCCUGAUGCAGCGACGCCGCGUGAGGGAUGACGGCCUUCGGGUUGUAAACCUCUUUCAAUAGGGACGAAGCGCAAGUGACGGUACCUAUAGAAGAAGCACCGGCCAACUACGUGCCAGCAGCCGCGGUAAUACGUAGGGUGCGAGCGUUGUCCGGAAUUACUGGGCGUAAAGAGCUCGUAGGUGGUUUGUCGCGUUGUUCGUGAAAACUCACAGCUUAACUGUGGGCGUGCGGGCGAUACGGGCAGACUAGAGUACUGCAGGGGAGACUGGAAUUCCUGGUGUAGCGGUGGAAUGCGCAGAUAUCAGGAGGAACGCCGGUGGCGAAGGCGGGUCUCUGGGCAGUAACUGACGCUGAGGAGCGAAAGCGUGGGGAGCGAACAGGAUUAGAUACCCUGGUAGUCCAA